UCAUUAUCGGCACCUGUUUGGCUCUCGUCUAUCAUCUUCCGCUCUGGAUUCUUAUCACCUUUCACAGUCUGGAUUCUUCCGGUCUCUGGUGCCCUCUUCGCAUCUGGUACAAUUCUUAUGUUCUUUCUAAGGCCUUAUUUUCAAAGCCAAUAAGCUGACAAAAACUAACGAAACCAUGGUAGCAAUUAAAGCUCCACGUGGCACUACUUUGGAAGUCUCAGAUCUUGAUGAGGUAAUCCCAUAAGCAGACGCCGGUCGAUCAAGUACAAAAUGCAUAAUUUUUGUGCAUGCAUACUCAAUAUGGGCU
rnacentral:misc_RNA from 1 species